GCUCUAGAGAUAGAGUCUUCCCCUUCGGGGGACAAAGUGACAGGUGGUGCAUGGUUGUCGUCAGCUCGUGUCGUGAGAUGUUGGGUUAAGUCCCGCAACGAGCGCAACCCUUAAGCUUAGUUGCCAGCAUUAAGUUGGGCACUCUAAGUUGACUGCCGGUGACAAACCGGAGGAAGGUGGGGAUGACGUCAAAUCAUCAUGCCCCUUAUGAUUUGGGCUACACACGUGCUACAAUGGACAGUACAAAGGGCAGCGAAACCGCGAGGUCAAGCAAAUCCCAUAAAGUUGUUCUCAGUUCGGAUUGUAGUCUGCAACUCGACUACAUGAAGCUGGAAUCGCUAGUAAUCGUAGAUCAGCAUGCUACGGUGAAUACGUUCCCGGGUCUUGUACACACCG
rnacentral:rRNA from 2 species